UCUGGUGGCUUGAGCGGCGUGCCGAGAACCCGAUCCCAUCUCGAACUCGGCCGUUAAACACGCCAGCGCCCAUGGUACUGUGUCUCAAGGCACGGGAGAGUCGGUCGCCGCCAGAC
rnacentral:rRNA from 1 species